AACAUCCAGUCUGGUUCCUCCACCAAAAGUCCACCACAGUGAUACAAAGUCAUUGAGCCGUCGUACAAAAACCUCUCACUGUAGAGAGACACGGCUCUCUGACUCUGAAACAAACAAACUCACCAGAAUCAGUCUGUUAGUAAUAUUUUUUCAGCAGGUGUGAGAAAUGACAACCACAGAACAAUAUUUAUAAAAUUAACAAUAUUCUACAUUUAUUCAUUUUACAGAAAAAUCAAGCUUUUGCUUCAAUUUUAAUAUAUAUAAUAUAUAUGUAAGAAAACAAAAUCAGAAAAAAAGUUACUCAGACAUGAAACCUAAACCACAUGGAAAUAAGUAUUAAUACAUCCUGAUCAAUACUCUGAUCAACUGAUUGAUCCAUUGAUAAACAGCAUGAUCAGAGUGAUCCAAGUCCCUGCUGGAGCCAGUCAGAGCAUUUCCAUAGAGAGCCACUUUGCAUCAGCAGCACCAUGCUCCAGUGCUCUGGGAGAGUUUAUAGUCCUGAGAGUUGAAGACUGGAUGACUGACAGCUGUCCUUCAUGACAACAGAAGACACAGAAAUCCUCCUCAUCAGAAACAUGACUUUGGUCUCCGUCCUCAUCUGGACUCUCCUCUGCUGCUGCUUCACAGAGUCCAGAGGACAGGUCACAGUGACUCAGCCUGGAGCAGUGAGCUCUGCUCUGGGAGGCUCCGUCACCAUCAGCUGUAGAACCAGUCAGGCUGUUCAUGUUUAUAGCAACAAACAUCGUUUAUCCUGGUACCAACAGAGAGAUGGAGAAAAACCUAAACUCCUUAUUUACGAUGCUUCCACUCGAGCAUCAGGGAUUCCAGGUCGUUUUACAGGCAGUGGAUCAAACUCUGACUUCACUCUGACCAUCAGUGGAGUCCAGACUGAAGAUGCAGCAGUUUACUACUGUCAGAGUCUCCACUAUAUCAACAGUCAGUGGGUGUUCACACAGUGAAAAAGCGUCGUACAAAAACCUCCCUCAGUCAGACUGAACAGAAACUGAACUGACUGCUGCAGCUGGAAGCUACUGCAGAGACUGAUACAGUUCACUGAGGACACACACACACACACACACACACACACACACACACACACACACACACACACACAC